UAUAUAUGUUACAUAAAAAGUAUAUUCCAAUGUUUACUCUUUUCCAGGAAAAGUAAACAUGUAAUAUGUAACUUUUCCCUAUGGUCAAUAUGAUAUCUCAAUCAUUGGCUAGUUAACUUUCAACAGGAUUUCUUAUCUUGUCUGUCAGUCAUUACUGAGUAUGUCUGCUAGGUAUUUAAGUUAGAUUAUAGUUCAGUAACACGGAAAAAAUUUUAAAAUUAAGUAGUGGUAUAAAAUUUUACUAUUAUCAAUUUACAUGUUAAUAGCAAUGAUAGUCUAUAAUGCUUAUAUUAUUUAAAUCAGUAUAUCUAGUUUCAUAUUCAAUAUUUUUAUUCUCUGUAUUUCAGUUUUUGUGUUAAAGCAGGCUAUUAUGUUCUGCAAACAAUGGGAAGGGUAACAGCAACCUCAAAUUAAGAAAAGUCAAAGCAGAAUAGAUAGUUUUUUCUUUUUUUUUUUUUUCGGAGUCUCCUUCUGUCCCCCAGGCUGGAGUGCAGUGGUGCAAUCUUGGCUCAUGGCAAGGUCUGCCUCUGUUUCAAGUGAUUCUCUUGCCUCAGCAUCCAGAGUAUCUGGGACUACAGGCACAUGCCACCAUAUCCAGCUUAUUUUUUGUAUUCUUAGUAGACAUGGGGUUUUACCAUGUUGGCCAGGAUGGUCUCGAUCUCCUGACCUUGUGAUCCUCCUGCUGCAGCUUCCCAAAGUGCUGGGAUUACAGGUGUGAGUCACCAUGCCCUGCCAUGACUAGGUUUUAUGAAGCAACUCCACCUAGGCUAUUGAUAGAAUGGAAACCACAUGCCCAACAACACAAUAUGGCAGAAUAAAGAAUCAGCGGUUGGAAGAUAUGGACACUGAGAAUGUUCUGAUAUUUCUGAGGAAAUAGCAUACUGUCUGCUUAGAAAAUUCUCGGAAUGUGUCAAUUAAGUGAAUUAGUCACUUAUUCAAUUUUCUCCCCCUAAUGUAUGCCUAGGAAAGAUGAUUCUGAAAUUGUCAGCAUGGUAACUAUCUGUUGGUCAAUUGUGAAGACUACCAUGAAACUGGAAUUGCGAAAUCUACUACCAGUUGACUCUUUCUUGUUUUAGGAGGUUAAAAUGUGUCAAUCAAAGAGUAUGAUUAGUGGUUCCUAUGUGUAUUAUUUUUGGUCCUCAAUUCACAACAGAGAUUAUCAUUUGCAUCUUGGUUUCAUUAGAAUGUUGCACAUAUACUCACUUCUAAAGCAUGUACAUGUUAUACAAACCAUCUAUAUUUUAAGAUCUUUUAUGUUAACUAACAUUGUCCUGUACCAUAGUUGCUUUAGAAAAUAUUCACCAGUAUUGCCAAAAAUGGCAUGCCAAAGAUACGAUGCAUUUGUUAGAGGGAUUUAAGUUGAUUCCUCAACUACUCAGAAAAAUAUUCCAGCUGUUUAAAUCAGAAAAAAUCAAACCUAAUUUACAAAUUAGUGCAUCAUUUAAACCAAACCAUUUUUGGUGCUUUUUACUCAAACAAAAUAUUUUUGUUUUUCUUGAGUUUUUCUUCUAAGCACUAAUUUCUUCAGGCUGUUGUUAAUUCACCUAAAAAGCAAAUAACUAGCUUUAGCAGAGAUUUCAGUAAAGAACUAGCAGAUACAUUAAUGAUUAAUGAUUAAAAAACUAAAAUAUUUUAUAAUGAUAUUAUAUGUAAUUAAGAUCUUUGGAAAAAAGUAAAUAAUACUUAUGAUGCAUUUAAAAUUUUUAAAUGGACUUAAGCAUUAAGAAUUGAGCACUAAUUUGAUAUUUAUAUCAGUUAUUAUGUAGAAAUUACAUUUAUGUUUUACAAAAUAUUAUGGCUUUAUUUUAAUAAAAUAUGGCCACCUUGCUGUUUCAGGUUUAUGUUCAGAAAUUAUGAACUUUUCCUAUUCUUUUGAGGCUGUUACUAGCACUUAGAAACAUAGUAAGUUAUCAAUUAUUUGGAAGUAAUAAUUUAAGAAAAAAGUCUUAUCAAGUUAUAAUUAGCUAAGGUAAAAAUAUGUUACUUUUGUUUUUGAAUAAUAUAAAAUAGACUUAAAAGUUUGUUAUUAAAAGCUUGAUUCUGUAACAUUUAUAUAUUGAAAGUAUAUUUAUUUCACACUGAUAGUGAUGAUCUAUAUCUGAAAAUGCAUAGUUACAUUUUCUUAAUAUAGAAAGUUUGUUACUCUGCAAUAAGAGAAAAAAAUAUAUGUCCUUUGAUCACUUUUCAAGAUAAUAAAGUUUUUGUCUGUUUGGAUCAUAUAAAGCAAUAAAAAGAAAAAAGGGAUGGGGGUGCCAGGUUUCUUUGACCUUGAAUUUGAAAAUAAACGGGGCAAUACAUGAUUAAAGACAAAACUUUGGUGAUUCAAAAUGUCCCAUGAAUGGUACCAUGAUGUUUGUGAGCUUUAGCAUUUGCAUACAAUGUGUCCCUUGGUUGGGCUUCAUGACCUGUUUUUACUUUUAGCUUUUACAUUCCACAGGCCUAAAAUUUCAGCAGGGACAGUGCUAAUUAAUUUAUAAUGUUGUUUUAUGUUUCUGAACAAGGUACCUCGGUAAUUAAGUGAAAUAUUUAUGAUGAAUAUAAAACAAUGCAAAUUUAUUUGUUUGCCUGAAAGCUAACCUGUUAUUUGUUUAAUUGAUCUUUUGAAAGAUUCUUUAAAUUGAAUCAUAGAAUGAGGAUGCAUGAUAUUUAAAACAGUGACAGAGGUAAUUCUAUGAAUUGAUGCAUUAGAAUAUAUUGUUACAUUGUAAGUCAGACAAAGGGUAAUCAUAAAACUUUGACCAAAUUGAUAAGUUCUUAGUUUCCCUUGAGGAAGAGAAUGAACUAUAGUGAGAGUGGAUCAAUAAUAUAUUGCCAAAGGAAAAUGUAUAACUCACAUAUACCCUAUAGUGCACAAUCCAGUCCCCUGGUUUAAUAUUGUGUGUGUGACAUUAUAGAAAUAUAGAAAAGUCAUAGCCCUGUUGCUGUUUUCUAAUAAACUGCAUAACCAUUUUUUAAUAUAAUGUAUACUUAGUCUGGACUUAUCUCCGUCUAUAUCAAAUGACAAGAUUGCUCUACUUUUAAUGACAGCAAGUAAACUAUACUUAUUCUCCCAGUGUUGACUGACACAGUUUAUGUUGUACUUCAUGCAAAUAAAAUAUCUUCAUAUUCACAGGUAAAGGAUUGAAACACUUUCUUUCUUUGGAAACAAGGCCAAGUUUUUAUCAUCUUUAAGAAACAAUAACUUAAAAAAUUUGGUUAAUACCACUGUCUCUUUUUUAUGGUAAUGAUCAUCAAAGUUACAAUGAAAAUAAUGCAGAAACAAAACAAAACAAUAAAAACUUUGAUGUCAAACUGGAGGAAGAAAAAAUUGUUCCAGCCAAUGGGUUGCCUCUUUUCAAAGAAAAAUAAGUCCUCUGGAGUUGCUAGGUAGGAAAUGCACAGUCAUACUGACUACUUUUUUCUUCAUUAUGGGAUUAUUAUACAGUUUCUCACAUUAUGAUACCUAGUAUUGGAGCCUGUAUGUUGACAGUGAAUAGCAUGGUAUUAGGAAUUAUAUGCUCGCAAAUAAUAAUUAGAGCUUACAUUUAUUACGUUUAUUAUGUGUCAGGCACAAAUCCUCAUCAUAAUCCUAUAGGGGUGAGUAUUUUAACUCUGCCAAGGGUAAAAUUGAGGCAAAGAAAAGUUAAGUACAAGGUCCAGUUUCAAAUCCCUUCCAAAUGAGGAAGCCAGAUAUAUUAGUCUGUUCUCGUGAUGCUAAUAAAGACAUACCAGAGAUUAGGUAAUUUAUAGAGGAAAGAGGUUAAAUAGACACAUAGUUCCACUUGGCUGGGGAGGCCUCACAAUCAUGGCAGAAAGCAAAGGCAGAACAAAGUCACAUCUCACAUGGAGGCAAGCAAAGAGAGCAUGUGCAGGGGAACUCCCCUUUAUUAAACUAUCAAGUCUCAUGAGACUUAUUCACCAUCUUGAGAACAGCACAGGAAAGACCCACCCCUAUGAUUCACUUACUUCCUACUGGGUCCCUUCUGCAACAUGUGGGAAUUAUGGGAGCUACCAUUCAAGAUGAGAUUUGGGUGCGGGGAUAGCCAAACCAUAUGAACAGAUUAGAAUCCAAAUAAUCUGCCCCUAUAGCUUCAUUAUUUGCCACAAGACAUCAUUUGAAAAAAUAAAUCUGUUUCAGGUCUAUUAUCAAAACAAAGUAAUGGGAUAAUUGCUAGCUUAGGCCUGUCUGGUAACCUCUAGCCACACAAGGCUAUUUAAUUUUAAAUUUGGGUUAAUUAAAAUGAAAUAAAAUUAGAAAAUUGUUUUCUUAAUUACACUAGCCAUAGCUCAAGUUCUUAAUAGCCAUAUGUGACUAAUGACUAUCUUUUGGAUAAUACAGAUAUAGAACAUUUCUAUCAAUGGAGAAAGUUCUACUGGAUAGCACCAGCUGAGGCUAAGGACCUGAAAGAAGAGUGGGAUAUACAGAUGGUAUAAGAGUGUAAGAUGCAAGCAUUCCUCUUGUUGGGGUCAGUGUUUAAAAAGAUCUGAGGCUGAGAAAUUACAGAUGUGUUUAAUAACAGCACAUGGUUCAAAUGGAUGAAUAAAAGUGAAAUUGGUCCAAAGAAGGUGGCUAAGACCAUUUUGGAGAACACUUAGAAUACUUGGUGAGGAGUUAAUUUUAACCAGAGUCCACUGGGGAUUUCAGAUUUCACCUAGUAGGGUGCUGGGCUUCUGGCCUCAGCAAUAGGCAGUUUCUUUUCCCACAUUGUUUUAUUUAUGGGCAUCACAUGACUAGAACUACUACUACUACUUCUUCUUCUUCUUCUUCUUCUUCUUCUUCUUCUUCUUCUUCUUCUUUUCUCUCUCUCUCUCUCUCUCACACACACACACACACACACACACACACACACACACACACACACACAGACAAUUUAAGACCUGGGAGUCAUUGAAGUUUAAACAUGGGCUCCUGUGCAAAUAAUGGAUUCAAGGAAUGGAGAUUAGUAUCCAGGUGAUGUUUCAGAAGGUUAUGCUAGGCAUCCAGAGAGAGAUAGCCAGAGAGAGAGAGAGAGAGACAGACAGAAACAGAGAGAAAGAAAGAUCCAAUAUUAAGGCCCUUGCAGAGGAAAUGUAUGACUUGGCAUCAUCAUUAAAUUGAAUGAUUUUUUUGGGGAAAACACAGCCUUCUAAAACAGAUAUGGUUCUAUUAAUUUUUUACUUCAACAGUUGUCAUCCAUCACCUUAAACACAGUCAAAAUUCCUUUGCAUUUCCUGCAAGAACCUUCACCCCAUCCCUAUCUUUUUGGCCUUGACUUCAUUCUUUCUCUGUUCUGAAUAUAGCUGGAUAUUUUACAAUUUCUGGGAUGUGCCAAGCUUUCUCAGACUCUGCUUUUAGUUCUUCCACUUAGAAUUUUUUUUUUUUUUCUGGCUGGCAGACUCUUCCUCUGCUUGAAGACCUGCCUAAAAUGUGACCUUCUAUUCAUAGUCAGAUUUAUUGCAUCUUUAUUUGUUUCACCCUUUAUUCAUAUUUUCUCUGUCAAGUUUUUGUGUUACUUCAGAAUUGUUAUUUUACUAAGGUUUAUUUUCUCUCUCCCUGGCCUGACUGCGGGCUAUGAGUAGCUGAGAGAUCUUGGUGCUUAGCACAAAGUAAGCACUCAGAUAUUUUUCAGUUGCACUGAAACAGGAAUAAAAAAUACCUGAGAAUUGAAACCUGCAGAUUGAAGAACAAAGUUGACAAUGAAUCCGUUGCUGAUGUUCCCUGAUGCUACCUCUUUUAUUGCCCUUCAAUGAAAUGCCUCUGUCUGUCUGAGGGCUCUGUCCUUAAUCUCCCUUUGUGCUUUAUUGUUAAGUGCCACAUGAGAUAAGCCAGGGACCGCAGGCUUGUCUGAGUUCAAAGCCAGGGUUUGUAAUCACUGGACUCUACCACUGUAUCUCUAGCUUGCCACCACUUGACUUGGACUUGGUUGGAACUGACCUAUUCUGAGUCUGCUCACCAACCUAUCAGCUAUGCACAGUAAGGGGUGAAUGCUGGUGAUUAAAAUGAGGUUACAUUGUGGUUCUUGUAGCCACUGCUCAUUUGUCUUCUACUUUCUCCCCUGAGAUCUUGAAUUAUAAAAGUCAUUUUGUUUAACUUGACAGUAGCCCUUAGUCAUAAAAAUGACAUUGUGGGUCUAAAGCAUCAUCCCAUUUAGGUGAGAUGCUGGGCUGGGUUUGUAAUACUGAGAAGAGGAAAAAAAAAUCAGCAAGAUAAAUCAUUUUAAGAUUAUAGUUCAUUUAGGAGACAUUUUUUACAAAGAAGGAUUUCUAGAAAUGUUUUACAGAGUUAGUUCAGAAGGAAAAAUUAGGAAGUUUUUUUGGGUGGUAGGUAUAGAUUAAUGAACUAAAAUACCUAACCUACUUAGCACUCUGAAUUUGGUUUUGAGGUAGAAGUCUUAGCUUUGCUAUAUGGUUUUUCUUUUCUUCCUGUUGUUCUCAUGUCAGAUACAGAUAAAAGAAAUGUGAACCUCUUGAUGCAAAGUUGAGAGUAACAUCACAAUUCAGCAGCUUCUUCGAGCAGGAAUUAGGUACCAAGCUCUAGUCCAAGUGCUAUUGAGAGGGACCUCCAAAUAUGAGUAAAAUAUGAUUCCUGCUUUGACUGAACUUAGUCUGUUGAGGGAGCCGUUCUGUCCCUGAAUCUUAAACAACAAAGAAUUGUGAGGGUGUGCGUAUAACUCAAAUAAAACCAAUAUUUAUUCCUUAACUUUAGUCUUUACCAUAUGCUAAAAUUUUAAAGAUGAGGUCACACUGUGGGGAUGUGGCUAAAAGAAUUAGAAGCAGGACCUACUACUUGCAAGGACUAUCACUAGAGAAGAGAAUGUUAACUGAGAAUGCCACAGAAUAUUCCAGUCUCUUUUUUGUUUGUUUGUUUGUUUGUUUUAACCAAGAUUCUCUUGCCGGAACCCCACAGGUUUAGACUUAGGGAGCAGGUAAAAAGAUGACUGUGAAUUUGGGGAUGGCAGUCUUAUAUGUGCGAUACUCCAAAAAAGCAUUUAUUCACUUGCUUUAUGCUUAGAUAUGGAUGUCCAUCAGUUUUCAAUUAGUCAACAUGCAAGCCUCUGCCAAGUGGACCAAAGUUCACAGUGUGCUCUGACGUAGUGUUACUAGGCAGGCCAGAUUCUGCCCAUUAUGGGCAAAGGUGCCCCACAUCUCAGGAGCCAGAGCAGCAAAAUAGCACUAUGUAUUCUGGGAAAGGUUGCAGCCUACUUUGCAUUCAGAAAUUGAAGCUUUGCACUUGGGGGAAAAGAUUCAAAGGAAACAAAACAGAAUGAAAUGGAAGCAAAAUGUUGGCAAAACUCAAAUUGCAUUGGAUUUAUACUUAUUGAAUUUUUGAAGUAAGCUGACAAGAAAAAUUACCUUCAUUGCAAAUCACUGAAGGGCUUUUCUAUAGAAUAAACACACUCACAGAGAAGAGCUAAUUCAAAGGAAGCUUCAAUAUGUUAAUAUAAUAAUUAAGCAGUAAGGCACAACAGGUGGCCCAUUUCCAAGUAGUGCAGCCUGCCUCAGGUGGAGUAUAAGGUACCAGGCUGAAGGCUAAAUGACUUUAACCACCUGAGAUUGCCUAUAAUCAUCUUAAAAUAUGAUAUGAAGUGUUGGAAGGUAGUUACCCAUGCAAAUAAGGGGAAGGAACCAAAUUCCAUGUAUAUUUUGGGCAGUCUUUAGGAGUUGAGUUAUUGGAAUCAGUCUGAAAACUUGGAAACUUAAGUGCCUUUAAUUGGAGUCUACAUUUUCCUGUGUUUUUGGUGGUCUUUUUUUCUUUCUGUGUAUCUCAUUCUCUCAUCCUUUUAUUUGAAACUUCCUCAGGGCAAAAUUAUUUUUUUGUUUGAAAAACUUGUCCAUGUCAUUUGGUUUAUGAGUUAUGUGUGUGCAUAAGUGGUUUUUGCUUAAGUAGCUAAUCAGCUUGGUACUUUGGUAGCUUCGUUUAUCAUGAAACAGAUUAGAACAGUCUUUCUUAAACUUUACUGGGCUCAGUAUUGUCUGGGAUCUUAUGACGCAGACUCUGAUUCAGUAAGUAUGGGGUGGAGCCUGAGAUCUUGCAUUUCUAAAAAGCUCCCUAGAGAUUACAAUGUAAACAGCAAAGUCUGUUAUGUUUUUUAAAUAUCAGGGAGCCCUGUGAUGAUAGGAAUGAUAGGAAUAGGGCUGUUAGGAAUAGAAGGGAGGUGAAAAGACCAAUGUUUUGAAGCAGUUGACUUUAUUUUCUGCUUUUUGAUUAUUAAUCUUAUAAGGAAGAAAUGACAGAAAAUGAACCAUGAGCUUGCUGGGGAUUUAUAGAUAAACAUAUUUGUCUUAUUUUGAGUCUGGUUGAUACAGUUGAAGACAAGAGAAUUCCAUUUUGAUACAAGUGUCACCAGAAUGUCUCAAGCCAGUGGUGUAUUACUACUUUGGGGCUCUGUUGGCAGUUCAAGUUUUGUUCAGGUAAGUGUUGACUAGAAAUAGAUCAAGAGAAGGUGAAACCUCUGCUUUUAACUAAUUGGCCAGAAUGGAUUUUGUACAUGGCUGCUGUCUGCAGACACUUGAUGCUCUUCUGCCUUGUGGUGCUCUGUUAAACCUAAGGAUUUCUUUGGAUUCUACAAGUAUUGUGAACGUGAGUUCUAGAAAUCCACAGUAAAUGAAACUGGUAAGAAAAAUGAGACAAAUGCAACUUUCCUGAAUUCCUCAUAAAUGGAAACAAAUGAUGUUUCCCUUUGUCUGUUUAUUUUGUUUUGUUUUUGUUUUUCCAAACAAGAAAUGUCCGGGAGGGGAAGUGCUAAGUAUCCUGAGCACUCAAUGGGAAGCAUUCUGAAUCUCCAGCUUCUCACUGUGGCAAUGUGGAAUGCUGAAUAUUUAUUUAGCACUAGCAAUGGGUCUGUCAACGGAAAGUCCUAAGGAGGAAUGAUUCUUUCCUGUGGUGCUUUAAAAAAUUUAAUUGGCUUCUAUUUUCAAGUUGACUCCAACCUCAAUUGUGUUUCCUUAAAGCAGCAACAAGUAUCUGGGAAACUAAAUUGUGGUCUCCCAUAUUUGCUAACUGACUCUCAGAAAUAUUUCUAGGUGUUCUUUAUCCUCUUUGCAUCUGCUUGGUUAACUUCCUUGUUAUUUUUCCUCUCAUGGGUUAUUGUCCUUGCAAGUGGUGGAGAAUUCCAGGGAAUGUUGUUCCCACCGUAGUCCAUGAGAAUGACACUCCCAUGGAAUUGUGCAGGCUACAGACUCUGUAGCCCUACACAAGGGCACUCUCCCUAAUGGUGGCCUUUACCUUUUUAAGAGUGACCCUUGAACACUUUCCCUAAGGUUGUUACUAUACAACUUACAAAAAUUAAUGCUUAAUUAGCUCUCCAUUCCCUUCAGGCCAAAUACCUUCACAUUGCAGGCAAUCCUGGUCCUAAUGACACUUGUAGUUUCAUCUUCUGCCAUCCUACCCAAGUCUAAGGUACGGGAUUUCUAACCUGGCCCACACCUCUUCCUUUGCAAAUCAUUUCUCCAGCUGGGAACUUUAAUCAAAUGUAUCUUUCUCUAGGAUCCUUCUCUAAUGUUUCUGAACAAAAUUAAUUGCCCAUUUUAUUUUGUUCCUCCAUAUUCUCCCCAUUCAUGCCUAUAUAUCUGAUUACAUUGUAUUGAAAUUAUAUUUGUGGCUAUUGUCCCUAAAAGCCAGUUCUAUUUUUAAUUUUCUCUUUUUGUAGGCCCAGAAGACAAUUUGGCUUUGACAUCUGACUUCUGAAGGUUGUCUUCACUAAUCAGGCCAGUUAGUAGGUUGGGAUUCCUUUCCUUACUUGACUCUUCUGCAGCUGACAUUCUCUUAUUCUGCAUGGUGGGCUGCUGAGGGCAGCAUUCUCAGAGAAAGGACAAAAAACAGGAUAUAGGACUGCUGUGACCCAUUAUCACAGCCUCCCCCUAAAUCUUUCAAGUCCUCAAAGGUCAUGUGACUUGGUACACGCCACAUAAUCACUAUUAUUGGUUAUUUUGAUGAGAAUAAUAAUGCUCACAUUUACUGAAGAUAAGUUGUUAAUACCAGGUAUUAAGUAUUUUUAUGCAUAAUCUUCUUUAAUCCUCAUCCAGCCCCAGAGGCAAAUAUACCAUGAAGCUAAUGAAGUUUAAAUUUCAAGGCUAUUCACUUACAAGGACCCCUCCCAAUGCUCUGUUUUUUAGUUCUCAUUAAGAAAAAAAGGAGUAUAAUUCUGUUUCUCAUUCUAAAUGAACAUUCUCUUCCAUACCUAAUUUCCUAUUAAUAAUUUUGUAUAUACCUGUAUUUUUUUCCUAAAAAGGCUUCUUCAAAUGGCAUAAGCCCCAAGUCCCACCAAACUAGAUCUACCUUGCUUGGCUCUGUAUAUAGGGGUCUCCAUACCCCAGGCCAUGAACCGGUACCAGUCUGUGGCCUUUUAGGAACCAGGUUGCACAGCAGGAAUGAGCAGAGGUGGGUGGGGUGGGCAUUACCGCCUGAGCUCUGCCUCAUGUCAGCCCAUGGCUGCAUUAGAUUCUCAUAGAAGUGCAAACCCUACUGUGAACUGUUCAUGUGAGGAGUCUAGGGUGCACAUUCCUUAUGAGAAUCUAAUGUCUGAUGAUCUUCUGAGGUGGAGCAGUUUUACCAUGAAGCCAUCUGCUCUGGUCCAUGGAAAAAUCAUCUUCUACAAAACUGGCCCCUGGUGUCAAAAAGGUUGGAGACCACUGCUCUGUGAGGUAGAUACUAUAAAACAUCUAUAAAAUACCAAAAGUGUGUGUCUAGAAAAAUUAAUCAGAAAAUGCAGGGUUGUAUUAUUGCAAAAUUAAUGAAAAUAAUGCUUUUUAGUUGGCCUGUUCUGUCACAAAAAGCAAAAAACUUGAGAUGUUGAGAUGUAUAUUAGAACAAGUGACCAUAUACUGACCUGAAAGAGUCUCAAGUGACCACAAGCAAUCACUUAUGCAACGCCAACCUUGUUUGACGAGCCUUCAUUUGAGAAUGGGAACUGGGUGACGACUGUUGACUAAUCACCUACAAAUGUAAUGAAAUAUGAUUUUUCAUUUUACCAGAGUUUUACCUAUUAUGUGUGCUUAUUUUGUAUGUAAUAACUAAGAAUCAGAGAAGUUAAAAUUACAUAGUUAGUGAUUAAGCUCAGAUGAACACACAUCUCUCUCUGGCAUGUAAACUGAAGUCUGUCUCUAUGUUUGCAGGUUGAUUCAAUAUCUGAAAUACAAGUGAAUAGAGAACAUAAAGAUUGACUUCCUUCCAGUCUCUUUUGUUGCUUGCUUUAGAAUGUCCUUAUCCUAACUCUCUCCUCAUGAUAACCUGUUGAAGGUCAUGGUGAAGAGGUUGAGACCUGUCUGACAACUUUUUUUACUCCCAUGAUCCUGUUUCAAACUUCCAUUAAGACUUUGGAAUUGGACUUGCUCAUUUAAUUAUUGUAAGCCACGUUUCCAAAAUUUAUUAAAAAUAAGACUUUGACCCAUCUGGAGUCUGGCCUCCCCUGUCCUGAUGCAUGCUACAAUUCUUUUGCUUUCUAUUGUUUAGCCUGAGGCCUUUGGUCCUUUCUGUUUCCCUCCACUAUUUUUCACCCUAGCUUUGCUUUGUAGGUUCUCUCCACAAUGAAUUUCUUUGACCUGGUUUCUGGAAUAUGACCUUGAAACUUCUUCUUACCCAAACACACAUCUCUCUAUAGCAUCUUCAUGGGCAUCCUUUAACAGGAAGGAACUAGUAAAACUCAUCUUUGGCAAGACCUGUGACACAAAUUAGGUAUAAAUUAAAAUAUAGUAGGAUUUUUUACCAGGAAUAAGGCAUUCCCUUUAUGGAUAUCUCUUCUAAACCAUAAAUUAAACAGCCACCAAUGAAAAAAAUAUUCCUUCUCAACCUUGUCUUGAAAAAUCUAAUAUCUAUGUCAGCACAGAGGCAUUUUCUUUUCAGAUAAACAUUAAUUGCCCUGAAUUUUGAUAAGUUUAAUAUUUUGAUGGAAAUAAUCCUCAAAUGUUAUUUCUUUUCUGUCUUCUUUGGUGUGCUACACUGAAGAAACUUUUCUAACAAUUUCUUAGUGACUCAGGAUCACCACAGUGAACAUCAGCUACCUUGUCUAGCAAAAACUUAAGAGAUCCUCUUGCUAUAGGGCAUCUCUGUGUUAAUGCAGAACAAAAUAUUUGUCGCUCAUAUUUAUUGUAUUGGUGUUCACACUUAGACUAGUGAUUGAAGCUCCUAAACGAAAUGACCCUAAAGUGCUAUGCAACCAGUUGAUAUCACUGUUUUGUCUAAUUUCUUCAUCUUUUCUGAAGCUGUCAGCUGUUGUUUCUUGCUUUCCUCAGUAAGCCUGCCCUUAACAAAGGUUAGUCCUCUUCAUCUAGAACAGCAGUUAACAGAAGCAACUUUGUCCCUUAGGGCACACUUUGUAAGUAUGGAGACAUUUUAAAUUAUCACUGUUUAAUGGUGGGGAGGACAUUACUGGCAUCUAGUGGGUGGAGGUCAAGAAUGCUGCUAAACCUCUGACAAUGUGAAAGUCAGACCUCCACAACAGAGAUUUAUCUGGGUCAAAAUGACAGUAUUGCCAGGUUGACAAAUACUGUUCUAGGAUUAUGGAAAAGUAAAUAAAUUCUAAAGGAAGACCCAGGAGGUUUGUUUAAUGCUAUUUUUAAAAAGUGUAUAAAGGUGGCCCAUGGUCAUUGUGAAGGUCAGGGCCUAGUAGCUUCAUUCAUUUACUUCUGAAGAACAAACAUGUUCUUGUGCAUUGAGGACAUUUGACCUCCAGCUGAAUGAAGCAUUAGUAUUUGUCCUUAAGUUAACAUUUUCAAUACCUGUGUGCACAUACAAACUACUUUCCUUUAAAGAAGAUAAGGUUGCUUUUUUUUUUUCCUCUUCUGUUAUUAGGUGGCUCAAAUGUCAUUGCUACAUUAAAGAAUAUAUCAUUCCAGUUUAAACACCAUAGAUUAUAUGUAGUAUGUUUCAAAUUUCAAUUUAAAACUACUUUUAUGCUGACAGCAACCUAAUUAUUUAAAUUGUAAGUUAUUUUUUCAUGUUGUGAUUUGAUAGUAUGAAAUUGGUGGACUGCUUACCAAAUCCUCCCUACUUUUUUAAGCCACAUUCUUUGGGAACAUUAUUUUGGCCUACAAAGGUAUAAAAUGUAAAACGUCUAUAGUGACAUAGGUACUUUAAAAGGAUAUUCUAUUGAAAGUUAAUUGGUUGUAAUCUUUUUAUUCUUCAUCCCUUCUCAUAGGUUUUCCAAUAGUUAGAGGUCACUGACCCUGAGGAGAAUUUUGCUGCCUAAGGUUUGGGCCUGCCUGAACUCUACAAAGUGCACAAGUUCUGACCUGUUCACAUAAUGGUUUUCAACUUAGGAUAUAACUCUUUUUAUUUCAGUUGUAGAAUAAAGACAAAUUGCAUUUUCUCAACUCCAGUCUAAAUUCAGUGAAAAGUUAUUGUGCUUUACUAGUUUGGGAAGAAUAAUUAUAUUAUUUGAAUUACUUUACACAGAGAUGUAAAUCAUUUUCUAUAAUAAUAUAUAGCAUAUAUCUUACCAGAUAUCAAUAUAUAGCAAUGCACAAGAUAGGGAAAUACUUUUUUUAACAAUGCAUAUUUGGCUAAUUUGACUUAAUUCCCAUGCAUUUUAUCAAUUAUGUACAUUUAUUUAAUGCAUGAAAAGUGUAACAAUUAAUAUUGAAGUGUAAAUGAGUAUGCAUGUUCUUCCACUGUUUUAUUCAAAUGCGAUGUGCCAAAAUCAAUUUGAUAUGAAAUUCAGAGUGAUAGAUGAGAGUGAUAAAUUUAAGGGAUGCACAGUACAAUAUGGAAUUUUGUCAAUCUCUAAGUUGCAUUUCAAAAAAAAGUAUAUUACUUUUAAUUAUAGGGAUCUCUUUCCAAUCUUGAUGCAAUGAAAUUGGUCAGAUACUAAAUGGGGGUGAUACAUUCAGAGAGAAAACUUAACCUAUAUAAACUGACUUUUGUGCAAAUAUUCAUGCUAUUUUGCUUGUUCAUAUGAAAUUUAAUGAAAUUCUGAAAGAAAAAGUGAUCCAAUAAAACUUCAAAUAAUUUUUCAGAAUUCUGGCUAGUUUUAAAAACUUACUGUUUCAUAAGCAUGUUUUCUAAGUUUUUAUUUUCCUUUGGAAAUUUACUGUAAAAUUUUGCUCAUAUUUAAGAUUUUUUAAAGGCUGCCUCAGUAUUUUUGAAUAUUGUUUAUUGUCAUUUUUAAAUGAAAACUGUUUCUUAUUUGUCGUGACAUUUAUAAUUUUAAAAUAAGAAACAAAUUAUGUUUCUUGAGGUCUUAGAAAUCAUAUUGUUGAAUAUAAUAAUACCAUUGUUGAGUCCGCUAAGAACUAAGCAAAAGUAGAGAAAGGGUACAAGAUCGUUCAGUAUGAUCUCUCCUCUGCUUAAUAUAUCAAAUUGCAGUUGCAUAUUAAUAAAGUAUUUUUAACUUAGAAAAUAUAAAGGUUUCAUUUGAAAAGAAAAUUGUCAUUUUUGUCUGCUGAAUUUUUUUUUUUUUUCCAGACUGAGUCUUGCUGUGUCACCCAGGCUGGAGUGCAGUGGCACGAUCUCGGCUUACUGCAACCUCUGCCUCCUGGGUUCAAGCAGUUCUGUCUCACCCUCCCGAGUAGCUGGUACUACAGGCAUGCACUCCCACACCCGGCUAAUAUUUGUUAUUUUUAGUAAAGAUGGGUUUCACAGUAUUGGUCAGGCUGGUCUCAAACUCCUGACCUCAGUUGAUCCACCAGCCUCGGCUUCCCAAAGUGCUGGGAUUACAGGUGUAAGCCACCAUGUCUGGCUGAAAAUAUUUCUAAAGAUGAACUUUUCUGAAAAGAUUAAAGAAGAAUAAAAAUAAUUGAUUGUUUUAAAAUUCAUUUUUAGAGAAAAAAUGCAUAUUGUCUCACAUGAAAGUUUUUCUUAGAAAAUUGUACUUAUAUCUCAAAAAUUAUUCUUGUAUGGAAACAUUAACAUAUAAAGUAUUAAUACAUGUAAAGUUUUCUUAUAAUUGUAGAGCCCAGUUUAUUUUAAAUAACUUUUCUUAAAAUCCCACUCAUCUUUAUAUACAUUUUUAAGCAGUCAAAAACAAGACAAUAUUUCUUGGAACAAAGCUACAAUACAGCUAGUUAAACUCAGCUCAUACUGUGAAUUAGACUUAUUCCCAAAAGUGUCAAAAUACAAAGUGCUGAUAUUUUAAUGUGAUGGUCAAAAUCUUUGAUCAUCAUUUGACUUUUCUAUUCCCCUUUUCCUGAUACAUGUCUCUUUAACCACAUAUUUUGCUAAUUUUUACACAGAAAAAAAACAGUUCUUUUUUCUAACUCUUCACUGUCACCAAGAAAGAUAUAUCUAAAUUUAACAUAGCUAGAAAAUAUUGAUAUGAAAUUAAAAUACCAUAUUCUCUAUUUAUUCAAGUGAUUUAGAACUUUCUCAUUUUCUCACUACACUUAGAUUUCACAUUAGAUAGAUGGGGAGUCAAUCUCUUUUAAUUGUUCCUUUCAGUACUAUAAGAUGCAGAUUGUCUGAGAUAAGUUCUGAGCAUGUGUUUCCACACAGGGCUUACCAAAAGUUUAAGAUUCAGCCUAAAGAGUACAAAUUUAGAUGCCUUUAUUAACUAUAGCUGCAAACUCCACUGUGUAAAGUGAGUGCAUUGCACAUCUAGAAAAAUCUGCUCUGAGCUUCCCUAAGACGAUGCUGAAAUGUUGCAUUAUAAAUUCCAAAAUAAUUAAUGAAGAACAACACUGGAGAUGAAAUGUAUAUGUGUGUGUAUCACAGCUAACAUGGCAACUGGAAUACAAAGCCUUUUUUCUCACAUUUUGCCAGCCAUAGCAUAAGCUUCCCACAGAGGAUGGGGAUUAACAGCCUAUCUCCUUUGGGGUGGGGGGAGUUUGAGAUGAAUAAAAUGUAGAAUCUGCAAAUGGAGCUCUGAAAUAAUGUAGUUAAAGUUACAUAUGUAGUCUAUUAUGGUAACUGGGAACAUGUGUGUCAUAAUGUUGGGCAAACCUAUUCUAAAAAUGGGAGAGAAUAGAACAAAAACUGACCCCCAAAUUCUGCUCAAGCCCCAUCAUCCAAAUGAGACUUUUAGGAAAGAUUUGAUAAGGUAUCACCUUCCACCGUCAACCAAGCAUAUCCCUACCUUUUCUACCCAUCUGCACUUAGCUCUCCCACUUUUUGGAUAUAGUUUUCAAUUUUCAAUUUGAAUGACUAAUUUUCCCUAUCAUGCUGGAGUGCCAGUGUGUCUUUAAGUACUAGACUUUUCCAAACCCACGGAUAUCUUUAAAUAUCAUGAUCUUGAAAUAUUUCCCAAGAAGAAAUGAAGGAAAUGCUCUGACACAAGGACCUGAGAGAAUCUAGGGGAUUGGCAGACAUCAAGUCAAAAGCCUUAGAUUUAAGGAGACCUGACCAUGCAUUUGGCAUCUUGAUCACUUACAUCACUGGUUAAAACCUCUGAUGCUGUUUGUGUUCAGGUAUUCGGAGGCCUUUCUGAAAUCAUUUGAGAGGGAACAUAAUGGGCAAAGGGGAAUAAGCACACAUGUGAAAAUGAUAGCUCAGUUCCAUCUAAAGAGUGAGGAAGUGCAGAGUAGAAAAUAAGUGUUGAAAAAUUAGAGCACAGAAGUUUAAUUAGACCAAGUACUCAAAGAAGGAAGGAAGCAAACGUUUUAAAAAUCUGAGUGGGAGAAAACAUGGCAGAUUGUACACGUUCUGAGUACGGAGGCACUGAUAUAAUGAAGUUAAUUUGAAAUUUGUCCAAAUUUAUUGACACUUUUGGGGUCUUCUGUUACUUUUUAUUUUUCUCUCAUUGAUUUGAUGAUUUUGUUUGUUUAGACUUUUAUUGAUUUCUAUUUAUUAUUCAUCCUAGGAUGUGAACAUGUCUUGAUACAAUAUACUUAAAAAAAUUGUCAUUAACCUCUUAUUGGUGCUUUUGUAAACUGCUGUGUUUUAACUUCGGUUUUUGGGCACACCACCCCUAUUAAUUCGUUAGGGAUUCCAGAAUGCUGGCUCAUCAGCGGAAGUGCUUUUGAAUUGAGAGGAGUAGGGUGACAAAAGGCAAAAGUAUAGUCUGUAGUCAGUGUUUAGGUAGAAAGUUAGGUAGAUGGUGAGCACAUGAUACUCUGGGAUUGUUCUCCCUGUCACAUGCUUCUCAAAAAGAUAGAGAAGAAUAGGCAAAUCACUACCUCUCCUCCUUCCUUACAUUGCUACCCCAAUAGCUCUAACAGACAUGGAAAUUUACAGGAUAAAUGCCAGGUAAUACUUGCCAAGAGAAAAAAAUAGAAUUUCUAACUUUAAAUCCAACUGGUUACUAUGCCUUGCCAAUCGUUUCUCUGAAAUAUCUUUAUAGCAUUUUUUAUCUCUGUCAUUCUUGUAGCUAAGUGCAGGCUUCCUUAACUUCCUACUCGCCAUUUCCACUGCUUCUUUCUGCUACAGUAGUCCCCUUUCUUUGCUUCUUUGCCUCUUCUUGUUUUAAUUCACUUUAUGAACAUUUGCCAAUUUAAUAUUCCCAUGAAACCUCUUCUGCAAUGUAAAAUGUCAUAUCCUUUCUCAAAAGUUUCAAAACUUUAACUAAACAUCCUUUAGUGGAUACUCUCAGUGCCCUCUCCUGAUUUGGUUCUACUUCUUUUUUUUUUUUUUUUUUUUUUUUAAAAACAAACUUACCUCCUAAAUGCUUACUUUUAGGCUCCCUUUUUCUAGCCAAAUCGCUCCACUCUUUUCCAAACCCAAUUCAGUGUCUCUCUCUCUCUCUCACCGUUGUUUUUUCUGGUCCUAGUCCUAAUAAGCUUGCCUCCUCUGCUGUCUUGCAUUCCGUGGGAUUGUGAUGUUCCAAGACACUAUGUUCCAUGAAGUCUUCCCUGAUCCUUCCACUGAAGGAAUCAAUAUUGAAAUUUUUAUAUUUGUAUAUAUUUGAUGGCACAUUUUUUUUCCUUUUAUUUUUUUUAAGAGAUAGAGUCUUGCUCUGUCACCCAGACUGGAGUGCAGUGGUGUGAGUAUGGCUCACUGCAAUCUCGACCUCCAGGGCUUAAGUGAUCCUUCCACCUCAGCCUCCCAAGUAGCUGAGACCACAGGCUUGUGCUACCAUGUCUGGCUAAUAUUUAUUCUUUUUUUUAGAGACAGGGUCAUCCUGUGUUGCUUAGGCUAAUCUCAAACUCAUGGGCUCACCAUUCCUACCACAUCAACCUCUCAAAGUGCUGGGAUUUCAGGCAUGAGCUUCUGCGCCCAGGCCGAACUCUUAACUUAUGAUAUAGAUCACAUAUACAUCAGUGUGUGAAUCUGCAUUUUUAUCUGCAUCUAUAUCUGAUGCAUCUUUCUUUUUUUUUUUUUUUUUUUGUUUUUGAGACAGAGUUUUGCUCUUGUUACCCAGGCUGGAGUGCAAUGGCACAAUCUCGGCUCACCGCAACCUCCGCCUCCUGGGUUCAGGCAAUUCUCCUGCCUCAGCCUCCCGAGUAGCUGGGAUUACAGGCGUGCGCCACCAUGCCCAGCUAAUUUUUGUACUUUUAGUAGAGACGGGGUUUCACCAUGUUGACCAGGAUGGUCUCGAUCUCUUGACCUCGUGAUCCACCCGCCUCGGCCUCCCAAAGUGCUGGGAUUACAGGCUUGAGCCACCGCGCCCGGCCCUGAUGCAUCUUUCUUAGCUCCAUUAUUCAAUCCAUGAUCCUUAAGUGCAUGGUUUGGCUAAUAUUUAUCUUUAUAUUCAUAUGACUCCUAGCACACUGUGUGACUCAUAAAAGCUCUCAAAUAUCUGUAGCAUGGGUUAAUAAUAUGCUUAAGAGCUUUCAUCAAUUGUUCGAGGUGAAAUUAAUGUUACUUGCAGUUGUAUGUAGUAAGAGAAACAACUGGUCAUUUUAAUAUCAUGUAGAUGAAAAAAAUGAAAAAGUAAAUAUUUAUACCAUGUAAUCACACAAGAUAUUUAUAGCUAGUAGGUACUCAAAUAAUUAAGGACCAAUGAAUUUGGCUUUAGUUAGCUGACUUAACACCACUCUUCCCCCUUUUUAUAUAAAUGGAGACUAAAAUUUUCAUAAAUGGUAAUCAUUUUGUCCUAUUGAAAAUAUAUUUGAGUCUAUGCUUGUCAAAAUGAACGUUUGAAAAAUGUUUUCUAAAAUGAGGCAAUGAUGUCUUUCACAUGAAUAGAUGUCAAAAAACAGAUACGGCUAAUUUUGUGAUUUAUUUCACAGGUUAAAAACUAUUUUCAUGUAUAUUUGUUGAUUAAUUUAUUUUUCCAAUUAACACUAUGAGAUGUGUGAAAUUAAUUUAUUUUACAUGCCAGGCACAGUGGCUCAUACCUGUACUCCCACUACUUUGGGAGGCCAAGGUGGGUGGAUCACCUGGAGUCAGGAGUUCAAGACCAACCUGGUCAACAUGGUGAAAUCCUGUCUCUACUAAAAAUACAAAAAAUUAGCCAGGUGUGGUGUAGGCACCUGUAACCCCAGCUACUUGAGAGGAGAAUUGCUUGAAAUCAAGAGGCAGAGUCUUCAAGAUUGUUUUGGCUCUAGCAAAACAAGUUGGAACAUUCACAUCAUCCAGAGGGGAAGAUUGAAAUGAUUUGAGUGAAUAAUGUCAUAGAGAGGAUGAAACUACAUGAGAAGAAUGCAUGGAGGAAGAGAGUUAACAGAAGGAAAAGGAGACAGCACCUCUUAGAGCAAGGAACAAAACCAAGUAACACAGACAGAGGUGGAAUGAGUUACAGAGAGGAUUACAGUGGGGCGUAGCCUCAACCAGUGAUUCAUUUGUACAACUAAAUUCCCAUCGUGAAAAUUAUUUGAGAGUAAGUUCCACAACCAAAGCUGUGACUGCAGUUUUUCCAUUCUUUAAAGAUUAGUGAUGCUGAAGCUAGAUCUCAAGGAAUGCAAUUUAGACUCCUAAUGGAUCUUGCAGGAACAUCACUGAUUUUACUGUUAGAGUGUGUGUGUGUGUGUGUGUGUGUGUGUGUGUGAGAGAGAGAGAGAGAGAGAGAGAGAGAGAGAGAGAGAGAGACAGAGAGAGACAGAGAAGAAACAUCUCAUUUUUUCCCUUGUGCCAAAGGACAUAAGAGUGAGUAAAUCUUCACAGGGUAUGAGAUUGCAAUAAGAUGUGUGCAAAUUUAGAUGGAAAUUAGGCAUGUUCCCAGGGCUCCUGGAAAAUUGCCAGCAUAGUGCUCAAGACAUUGCUUUUAUAGACUAUGUAUAUAUUUAUUUCUUUGUAAAUCCAGUCUAUAGAGUUUUCUGUUUAUUAUUGUUCCCAAGGACAUUCUUUCUCCAAGCAUUUCUCUCAGCAGAAACUAACUCAAAAGCAUUUUUUAAACCCUAUCAAAUGUAAUCAGCAUUUUCUGUGAAAUUUUCUCUCAUUGAUAUUACUGUCCUGUUUCUUAUAAUUUCUGUUGUGAAACAAUCAGAGUGAAAACUUAUCAAAGAUUUAUAGGGGUGUGUUUUUGUAUAAAGGACAAUCACAAACAUGGGGAAUUAACAGUAUUAAUUAGUAUUUCUCAUGCUCCUUAAACAUACUUUAAAUGUAUAUUUGAAAUAUUUUCCGUUUUGUGAUACAGUUUAAUUCCUAAAUGUCCUCCACAGCUUGAGUUGUUUUUGUAAAUCAUAAUAUGAUAGUAUAAGUUGAAAGUAGGUUAUUGAUUGCUGAAAAAAUUGAUGCUAUUAGUUUUGAAAUAUCUGCUUGGUGCAAAAGUAAUGCGGUUUUUAAAAACCAACUUAAUAAUUAAUCAUAUCAAUCUAAUAGGUCAGUCAUUCAGUCAAAGACUCAAUGGCUACAAAAUGAGAAAAUAUAUAUUAUUGGAUGUAUAUUUAAACUUUCAUGGCUUUACUAAGUAAAUGAAGUGAAAUACAGGACCCACUUAAUCGAUGAGUUUUUUCUUCUUUGUACUUUGAUAUUACUCAGAAUGAAAUCACUGGAAAUGAUACAGUCAUUUACUAAUUUUUAUUUUAUGUUGACUUCAUUAAUAUUAAUAAUAUAAUAGCUUUUCAUAAAACAGAUGCCUUUCACAAGCAUUUUAUUUCUAUUUUUAGAAUUAAUCUAUUAAUUUCAUUGACACACUUUAAUUGUACAUAUUUAUGGGGUACAGUUUUAUGUUUUGAUACAUACAUGAUGCUUAAUGACCAAUCAGAAUAUUUAGUAUAUCCUUCACCCUAUGCAUUAACCAUUUCUUGGUGGUAAGAACAUUCAAAAGCCUCUCUUCUAGCAAUAUUUUAAUAUACAGUACCUUUCCAUUAACCAAUUUCACCCCACUGUGCAAUAGAACACCAGAAAUUAUUCUUCCUAUAUAGCCUUGUACCUGUUGACCAAUAUCUCCGCAUCCUCCUUACCCUCUUGUCCUGCCGAUCUCUGGUAACCUCUGUUCUAGUCUGCACGAGUGUUAUAUAUCGCUGCUUUUAGAGCUUGCAGCACACUUUUGAGAAUAAAGAAAGAAUUGUGGUUGAAGAUUUGGAGAAAGGCCUAUUUUUGAUCCAGAGGAUCUAUUCUCGGCUGGAAGUCAGACUGUUCGUUCUUCUUCUGGCUCCCAUGACCAGCCAAAGGCCUCAGGCAAGGCUGGGAAACCAUCUCGAGGUGGACAGAGGAAUGUCUGACUCCUAUCCUCAAUUUCAAAGGAUUGCCCUCAGAACUCAGCAAGGCUUGACAAAAGUAAUACAUGCAUUUAUUUUUUACUCAAAUAACUUUUUUUGUGUGUUUUUCUAAUUAUGCUGUUGAAAUAGUGGCAUUACUCUCAAUAUUCUAGAUAUUUAAAAUGAAGAUUAGGCCCAUGUACACAGAACAAAACAAACCACUUCUAGUUUCUGAUAUAUUAGAGCCAUCUUGUUCUCUUUAAGAUUUUGGUUUGAGGCUUUUUAGAUCCAAACUAUAGUGAACUGAAUAUCUGUUUCACCAUUUUUGGGUAUUAAUUUAACCAAGCAAUUUGUUAUCCAUUAUUGUAGUUUACAGGCAGGGAAUUCAGUGAGAGUUUUAAUAAUAGAUUUUUUAAAUGGGUGCCUUAGAGCCUGUUCAUGGUUCCCAUUGUAGCACAUGAAGGUACACUGAGAUGACUCCUGGUAUAUUAAAAGUUAUGUUUUUAAGAGAUUUAGAAGGUGGCUGGCAACAAAAUUUGGCUUAGUAAAAAAACUAAAAUAAGGGUGACUGAAAAAAGCAAACAGAAGCUAUCAGCAAAGACUUAGAUUAGCAUUUUGGCAGUUGGAUUAGUGCAUCUCUGCUGGCAUGACCCCUUUCUUCCGUUCCUCAGGGCUCAUCUUUCUCUUCCUUGAAACUGAAGUCAACAACAUUAUUCCAAAGGGUGGCUUUCCUUUCCCAUGGCUUUUGCUCUCGGAUUUUUAUUUCUUUUGUGAUAGAUAGGUGUGUAAUUUAAAGCAUUAAAUAGUUCAAGUUUACCAGCAUCCUUAGCAAACUUGAACUAUUUGAUGCUUUAAAUUACACGCACCUAUCUAUCACAAAUGUAUACACCACUUUCCUACUUUCUUCUUGUAGAAGCAUGACUUUCAACUCUAUCAUCUCUGUAUUAUAAACAUGAAUGUAUUUCUGUCUUGAAAAUGUUUAGCUCUAGGUGCUAGCUCCUCAAUGACUUCUGGAAACAGGAUUUAGAUCUCUUUCUCUCCUGUCUUUUCUUUCCUCUCACACCAAAACCUUAGUUAUUCCUAGCCCCUUAUUCUUGAAUUUUAUAAUUUUGAGUCAGAUCAAUACAUAUUAUAGUGUUUAUGCUAUUAUGGCUAUGCAAACACUACCCACAUCUGAGCCUUAUUUUUUAUAUUACAUUUUUAUGUGUACAUAUAUAUAUAAAUUUUCAUUUCCUGCACAGAUUACAAUUUCUCUUUUUUUUCUUCUGACUAGUUUUUUUUUCCUAAUAAAUGUUUACCAUUCUUUCUCUCCAGAUUCACCUCCAGUUGAUGAAAUCUCUUCCCAACAUACUGCAAUAAUCAGAUGUGUUAUUUGUGUCAUUUUUCUCUAAGAGGAUUCUAACCUCUUCCAAUCUGGGCAGGAUGCCCUCUGUGCCUGGUGCAGAGGUGUUAGUAGUUGCUUGUCUCAUUGUAUCUAUUUUCUCUUUUCAGUGCCCAUGUCAGUUUUUGGUUUUUGAGACAGGGCCUCACUCUGUCACCUAGGCUGCUGUGCAGUGGCAUAAACAUGAUUCACUGCAGUCUUGACCCCCUGAGCCCAAGUGAUACUCCUGCCUCAGCCUCCCAUGUAGCUGGUACAAGCUAAUUAUUUUACUUAUUUGUAGAAGCAGGGUCUGACUUUGUUGCCCAGCUGGUCUCAAAUUCCUGAGCUCAAGCAGUCUUCUUGUCUUAGCUCCUUAAUGUGCUAGAAUUGCAGGCAUGAGCCACCACACCUGGCCUGCCCAUGUCUUUCUCUGUCAAUGUAUUUCUUCAUUUUGUUGAAGCCAGCCACUAAGAACUUUCUGAGAAAAAAAACGCAAGGGAGGAGAUGGUGUUUGAAAUGAAUAAUGUAUAAAAUGUCUUUAAGUGAAUAAUAUUUUGGUACAAAAUUCUAGCCUGGAAAGUCAUUUUCUUCCAUCUUCUAGCGUCGUUAUUGAUACAAAGUCAUUUUAAGCUACUUUGUUUUUUCCUUCUAGAAGCUUGUAAGAACUCCCUUUGUUCUCCAUAUGCUAAUACCGUGGUUUGCCUUACUGUAUAUUUAAUGAGAUUCAUAAGGUGGGUGCUUGGUGGUUUUUUUCAACUUGGAAGUUCAUGUUUUCCAUUGCUGAGAAUUUUCUUAAGUAAAUUAUUUCCUUUUCUUUAUUCUAGUAUUUUUUCUCCCUGAAGUUAGUUGGAUAGUGGACAUCCUGGACUCUCUAGUUUUCUUAUUCUUCUCACUUAUUUUCUGCUUUUUUUAAAAUAUAUAUAUUUUCUGAGACAUUUUCUGAACAUUAUGUUCUAUACUAUUUUGAGUUUUUAUUUCUGUUAGCAUAUUUUUAAUUUUCAAGAGAACUCUUUCUGCGAAUUUUCCUUUA